UGAGAGGUUGGCGCGGGCGAACGCCUCGCCAACCCGGUCAGGCCCGGAAGGGAGCAGCCGUAACGAGAUCCGUUUGGGUCGUGUUCAACCUCUCACCC
rnacentral:SRP_RNA from 1 species